GCAAUAAUAAUAAUAACAAUGACAGGCAUUUGUUGCUUGUUGGCCGGGACUCUUGCAUACGGUUCUCCCAACAUCCCUGUGAGGUGGUGAUGCUUAUCCCCAUUCUCCAGGGGAGGAGGCUGAGGCCCAGAGAGGUGAAGUUGUGUGCCACAAAAUACCCCAGCCAUAUGGUGGUAGAACCAAGUUUUCAGCCAGACUCACCAGCUCAAAGCAGAGCUGCCCUGGACUCUACAGCCAUUCAGUGUAUAGCUGGGCCACUCCAUCCUUCAAGGCAGUUCACCGUCAAGAUUCCUGAUUUGCCUCAACCUGGGGCCUCUAGAAGAUACCAUCACCCCCGACAAGCUGAAGACGUGUGUCCGGAACACUCAGACACACACAAAGUGCUAUGGAUACACCACACCCCGACCUAGCUGUCUCUUCCUGAUGGACCUCACUGGGUAGAAAUGCCUGGCACCGCCUGCCUCAGAUCCCUAGGGAGUAUAGGUGGAGCCUCCAGAGCCCAUGGACAGGGCAUGCUGGGGCUGGGCCAGCCCCAGCGGUGUCUCUAAGGCACCCCUGGGAUCCCCACCGAGCUGGCCUACUUCAGACAGCCAGGGCCCUCUGGCCCCCUUAGUGUCCAGCUCGUGGCCCCUUGGCAUUU
rnacentral:lncRNA from 1 species